rnacentral:sRNA from 1 species
GGGCUCGUCUGCUGUGCUGCGGUGGGCGUUGGUUUCUAUGGAAACAGCGAGACCAACGAUGGGGCGUACCAGCUGAUGUACUCCUUGGACGAUGCCAACCACACCUUCUCUGGGAUCGAUGCUCUGGUUUCCAGAACUACCCAGAAGAUGAAGGUGGACCUAGAGCAGCACCUGGCCCGGCUCAGUGAGAUCUUUGCUGCCCGGGGCGAUUACAUGCAGACCCUGAAGUUCAUACAGCAGAUGGCAGGCAGCGUUGUUGUUCAGCUCUCAGGACUGCCCGUGUGGAGGGAGGUUACCAUGGAGCUGACCAAGCUAUCCGACCAGACUGGCUACGUGGAGUACUACAGGUGGCUGUCCUACCUCCUGCUCUUUAUCCUGGACCUGGUUAUCUGCCUCAUGGCCUGCCUGGGACUGGCCAAGCGCUCCAAGUGUCUCCUGGCCUCGAUGCUGUGCUGUGGGGCACUGAGCCUGCUCCUCAGUUGGGCAUCCCUGGCCGCUGAUGCCGCUGCGGCAGUGGUGAGUCGGGGGAGGGAGUGGGUG